rnacentral:lncRNA from 1 species
AAUGAAAUAAUUGAGUCCAAAUUAUUAAGAAGAUAAAAAUCCAAGCAGCCAAUCGUGAAGAAACACGUGUCACUGCUUUAUCCACAACUCAUUCUCUCUCCGCGUAUUCCUGCACGCGAUGGGCCUUGUCGGCGCGUGCCUCACACGCGCCCAGCUUGGCAAAUGGAAAUGUGACGCGUGGCCCCUCCAGUGAGACUUUCAACAUGUUUAAACCUUUCAUCACCUCUUUCCUCUUCGCUCAUUUUCAAUAAGCCACUCCAAUAAUUUCAAUAGGUUGAAAAUAGCAUUCAAUAAGCCAUUGUAGAUGGUCUAAAAAAGUGGAGAUAGUAAUACUCAAUAUUUUCAUUACUCCAACAUUGAAUUACUAUUACCAUUCUUCUCUUCAUUUCUUCAGAGAAAAAUAACGAGAAAAAUCAUCUCUUUCUCUCUCACUUCACCGUCAUCUCAUUGAGUAUCAUGCUUCUCACCAUCUUUCCUCCCAUCGUCACGGCGUACAAAUUUACUUCUAAACCAACACUCAAUCUCAAUAUAAUAUUUGUUCUUGAUCUCAUUUAUUUCUUUCUUCCAUUGGAAUUGGGGUUUUAGAUCUGGUAGUUUCAUGGGUUUGUGAAUUUGUGGGUUUAAUGUUUUCCUGUGUAUUGUGAGCAUUUUGCAAUGAAUUUUCGUGGGUUUUCUGUUAUAGUAUUUUCUUGAUUUUCUUUUUAUUGGAAAAUGAACAACCGAUCGAACUCAUCCGCCAAAUCCGAUAAACCGCGUAAACCGAAACCGAAUAAACUGUUGACACAAACGGACGGGAUUGGGUGGCAUUUUCUCACCCACGGUUAACCGAUUUUUACGAUUUUUCGGACUGCCGCCGACCGAACCCGACCGUUGUCCAGCCCUACAUGGUGUUGCUUUUGUUUAGUUUUAGUUUUAUCUUAGGGCAAUUUCUAUAUUUGUUCUUCUACUUUGUUGUUGAUAUUUUCUUAAUUCUAACCGUGCACUUCUUAUGCGGGUUAAAAUCGGUGGUUAUUUAUAAAUUCCAUUAUGG